rnacentral:lncRNA from 1 species
CAGCUGUCACCAAAGCCCAGCUUGAUAAAGUUGUGUUGGACAAGACGGAGGAGAAAGCGGCCUUUGACCUGGUGCUUGAGAAGGCGGCAGCUGAGGCGGCGGCACAGAAGGCCAUUGCUGACAAGACGCUCGUUGACUUCGGAGAGCUGCAGGUGAGUGUCUAGCAGUAUUUUCUGACCUUAAGGGGAAGCUCAGCUGAGGUCCUAGCGCUUUCUCUAAACACCUUAGCGGCUUUGUUGUGGUUACCUCAUGAUCCACAGCGGCGGUUUAAUGGUUGAAGUCGAGCUUGAGAUCGCCUGUGCUACCUGUGGUACAGCUCGUUUGAUAUCUUGCUUCUACGAGGAGCCUAUGCGUUGCUAAUCGCUGAGCAUGGGGCAAUUGCUGGGGGGAAACACCCGGGCCAUGGGUCCAGGGAUCGUUUUUGUCUUGGCCACGCUGCUGUACUGGGAAAUGCCUAUGCUGGCGGGUAAUUGGUUGCAUUUUUGGUGUACUUAAGCCGUGCUAAUAAUUUCUUCGUAAGUGAUGGACAUGGCCGACAAAGUUAAACUAUUACGUAAGCCAUCGAGAUAAUAGCGAGGUCAACAGUCGCAGCGGAAGGUGAAGGACUUUGUAUCUCUGACUACAAGCAAGUAUAUAUGUACACACACACAUAUAUAUAUAUACACACACAUAUAUAUAUACACACACAUAUAUAUACACACACAUAUAUAUAUAUAUAUAUAUAUAUAUGUACACACACACUCAUAUAUAUAUAUAUAUACACACACAUAUAUAUAUACACACAUAUAUAUAUACACACACACAUAUAUAUAUAUAUAUAUAUAUAUAUAUAUGGCAAGUGUAUGCUACCUGUGUUCGGUUUUUAGCGUCGAGAUUCCUGAUUAAAGCAGCCAGGCACCUUACAUGAUGACCGUGCCAAUCAGAGCUCAUCAGUAAUAACAUUGUUAUGGUCCAUAGACAGGGUUAAAGUAUCAUGGAUAUGACCGAUAAAUAGAUAGCAUAUAGAUCCAUGGUAUACAAUGGUAUAUAGGUCGUGCUAUGGCAUUAUAGAUAGCCAUGAGAAUAGAAGGUUUGUAGACAUUCCUCUCUUUUACAGGCGUCAGCUGCGGCAUCCCAUUGUAGUGGAAAGUGAAGCAAGCCAUGGCAAGUGAAGCACGCAUUACCAUCCACUUCAACUACUGGCUUGCGUGAGUGACCUAAGAGGCCUGCAACCCAGGUAGUGCCGAUGCUGCUCUGCUUUGAUUCCUACAGUCCAGGCAGUGCCGUGAUGCUAUAUAUAGUGCUUAUGGCAACCGUUGUGGCAUUUCACGCACAACGGGCGCACACAUGGGUGAUCACGACAUUUACGCGCUGCGUUACAUGAUAUGCGGAUCCAUAUCUGUUACGGGGAGGGUCGGUGUCGCAUGGGGACCUCCGCAUAUGUUGACCUCCGUCUGCGUCGCUGGGCCGAAGACAUGAAGGCAUUAGGCGGGCGGUAUGGAGUGGCAAAGGCAAGCGAAACCUAGAAGGAGGACAGCUAAUCUGCAAAGCCGCACUUAAGGAUGCUGUGUUCGUCAUUCUCUUUGGCAUUUCCAGCUACCACUUUUGGAAAGAGAGGGAGAGUCUGUGUAUGUGACUGUUUUACACCUGGACUUGCAUACUCUCCAAAGGUGUAACGGGCCCAUACGAGCCGGCUACGAGCCGGCCCAUACGAGCCGAAGGCUGCCCGAAAUAGAUAGGCAUGUAAAAAUGCAUGAGAGAAAUAUUCUUAUUCUAUCGCUCGAAGAAGACACUAUUCAGACUGCUAUGCUGUAGCAGUGCGCUUGCUAUAUGAGACCCUCUGUACUGUGGAUGGGGCUCGCAAGCUUGAAUUGGUUAUCCGCUACUAUCACAUCCUUCACAGUCUGAUUAAUCUGAAACCGGACAGAAGGCCCCUGCGUAUGCUAUAUACUGGGCAGUCCGUCUUGGAGCUCGCAGGACUUGCGCUAUCGCGCGAUCCCCCAUACACGUUUUUGCUUCUAGCGGGCAGCAACAUAUACGAAAAUGCAUUAGCAACUGACGCAUAUCGACAAUAAUAAAGAUAUUGGUAUUCGGCAUUCGUGUUUUUCCUUCGCUAGACGAGGAUAGGAGGGAGCCUCGGGGGUAAGGAGGUACUGGAAUCCCCAGAAGCGCCCUCCCAUUAUUAUGUGUCCCAUAUGCGUCCCAUAUGCUCCUGAAAUCUAUUAGCGUACUAGGCUCUUUGCGGGACGGAAGCUAGCAGCGCUACUCGUGCGUGCACUGACAUAAUACACAAGCGGGAUGCACGGUCCUGCAAUAAAGUAUGCGCGUCGUAUUGACCUGCUCAACAUGCAGGCCGGUAAAGGCUGCCCUGUGUCACGGCGUCGUGAUUCCAUAUAUAUGUAUUGUCAAAUGGAGAACAAUGAAAGCAAGUCACCAUCGUAGUAGCAGUGCUGGUUAAUGUACCUGUGCUCCCCUCAACCUUCAGUCUUAAUAAUUUAGAUAAGAGCGAUUUUGACUCAUGCAUUAAGUUUCCUUCGCCCGCCUGCAGGAAUCAGCGGCUGCGGCCAAGGCCCAGUUUGACAAGUUCGUGUUGGACAAGACGGAGGAGAAAGCGGCCUUUGACCUGGUGCUGGAAAAGACGGCGGCUGAGGCGGCGGCACAGAAGGCCAUUGCUGACAAGGCGUUAGUUGACUUCGGCGAGCUGCAGGUAUUGUGCUUGGGGAAGGGUCUCGCGUACUUCGAGGAGGUCUGGAUUGAUAAUCACCCCAAAUUCUGCUGCUCACGAGCAGGAGUCUUCAACGGCUGCUAAGGCCCAGUUUGACAAGUUCGUAUUGGACAAGGCGGAGGAGAAAGCGGCCUUUGACUUGGUGCUGGAGAAGACGACGGCUGAGGCGGCGGCACAGAAGGCCAUUGCUGACAAGGCGUUAGUGGACUUCGGCGAGCUGCAGGUAUUGUGCUUGGGGAAGGGUCUCGCGUACUUCGAGGAGGUCUGGAUUGAUAAUCACCCCAAAUUCUGCUGCUCACGAGCAGGAGUCUUCAACUGCCGCCAAGGCCCAGUUUGACAAGUUCGUGUUGGACAAGGCGGAGGAGAAAGCGGCCUUUGAUCUGGUGCUGGAGAAGACCACAGCUGAGGCGGCGGCACAGAAGGCCAUUGCUGACAAGGCGUUAGUGGACUUCGGCGAGCUGCAGGUAUUGUGCUUGGGGAAGGGUCUCGCGUACUUCGAGGAGGUCUGGAUUGAUAAUCACCCCAAAUUCUGCUGCUCACGAGCAGGAGUCUUCAACUGCCGCCAAGGCCCAGUUUGACAAGUUCGUGUUGGACAAGGCGGAGGAGAAAGCGGCCUUUGAUCUGGUGCUGGAGAAGACGACAGCUGAGGCGGCGGCACAGAAGGCCAUUGCUGACAAGGCGUUAGUGGACUUCGGCGAGCUGCAGGUAUUCUGCUUGGGAAAGGGUCUCGCGUACUUCGAGGAGGUCUAUUAUUGAUAAUUAACCCAAAAUUGGCUGCUCACGAGCAGGAGUCUUCAACUGCCGCCAAGGCCCAGUUUGACAAGUUCGUGUUGGACAAGGCGGAGGAGAAAGCGGCCUUUGACUUGGUGCUGGAGAAGACGACGGCUGAGGCGGCGGCACAGAAGGCCAUUGCUGACAAGGCGUUAGUGGACUUCGGCGAGCUGCAGGUAUUCUGCUUGGGAAAGGGUCUCGCGUACUUCGAGAAGGUUUGUUUUGAU